GGCAGUGGCCAGCUUGUGGGAUUGGCUGGGACUGGAGUAGCAUCAGGCAUCGCCAUAGGAGGCUUUGAAUGGAAUGCCCUGGUGCUUGUGGUUGUCCUGGGCUGGGUGUUUGUACCAAUCUACAUUAAGGCUGGGGUGGUGACAAUGCCAGAAUACCUGAGGAAGCGAUUUGGUGGGACACGCAUACAA